UAAAUGGAUUGAAUGCAUAGCUCAGUUCUUGGCUGCAGGGGCCUUCUGGAAAGGCCUGUGACUGAGAAAUGCAGGCCUGGCUGCAGAAGACACCUCAGAAGAAGUGGGCUGGGGAGGAGAGCCUGGCUGCCAGCCAUCCAGCAAUAAAGAUAGAGAGUACAAUACCGGCACUGGAUAAUCAACAUGGAUAUUCAAUAUUUCAGAGAGGGAAAGAAAUUGCACUGGUCAAUUUAAGUAGAUGAAGGCAGAAAUUUGGUGUGGAUUCUCUCCCCCACCCCAACAGUAAUGAGUCUAUUUUGCCACUGGAUGAUAAAUUAGACAUUUAAUAUUCAAAAGAAAUGCCUUUCUAAGCACAUGCAACCAAGAUGUUUUCAUCUUAGCUCUGGUUGUCAAAGAAAUCUUUAAUUUUCAGUCCUUCUCUGCAAAAUGAUUGUUCUUUCAUUUGUGAAGAUAAAUGAGAAGGUACAAUUUGCUGAUUAUAGUCUGCCCUUUCUAAAGUUUGGAACUACAACUCUUUAACUACAGCAAUGACCACCCUGAAUAACAACAAACAAAUGUUGAUAUAUUAUUAAAAAUUACAAUUGUAUGUUACAGAAUGUUGGAAUAAUGUCUGAUCAGAAAAAAAAGCACCAAGAUUCAUAAAAAAGUACUUAAUGGAAGUUAGAAGGGACUGUAUGCACCAACUGAAGUGCAUAAAUAGAAAUGUUUACUAGGAAUGCAGAUGGGGAACCAAUAAGGUAUUUUAUGUGGAAGAUUUGUAUGAAAGAUUCAUAUAUGCACAUGCCAGCAUAUGAACAAAAUAUACAUGAACAAAAUAAUUUUGGUCUUCUGAAUUUUUAUAUUCUUAAAAAUAGUCUUGUAAUGGAAGAAGCCAAUAAAUGUUUCAGAGAUUAAUAUUCACUAAUCAUAUUUUAUGAUUAUAGUCUCAGAGAAAGAAAAAGAGAAUGCUAAAAUUCUAGUGAGUUCCAUUGAGCAUUAAAAGUAUGAUUGGCAAACAAUGUUUUUCUCAGUAAAUCAUUUCCAGAAAUGGGAAGCUAAUUCACAUGGCACCAUAAAGCAGUCUCACUAGUAACAGUGGGAAAAAUGAAAUUAAUAGAUGAAAACAAAGCAUAAGUAGUACAAAUGGCCAAGUUUUUGAGCAGGAUCUGACAUGCAAAAUAUGGCAGUGUAACAGAAUGUAGAAAUAAAUACCUAAGCUACAUAUUAAAGUCCAGUGAUACUUUAUACCCAGGAUUAGAAAAUAUAAUAGUAUAUAAUAUUCAAUGUGCUAACAUGGACUAUUGUUUUAAUGAUCUUAUCCUCUUGUUCUUCAUAUUCUUAUGUACCCUUUAGACAAAAUUCUUAGAAAAAGCUUUCUGUGCAGUCUGAAUUAUUUUCACAGAAGUUGCUGAAUAAAGGGAUUGUGAAA